CCUACGGGUGGCUGCAGUCGAGAAUUUUUGGCAAUGGGCGAAAGCCUGACCAAGCGAUGCCGCGUGCGGGAUGAAGGCCUUCGGGUUGUAAACCGCUGUCAGUGGGGAGGAAAGCUUUGUGAAGAGCAAGGCUUGACCUAUCCGCAGAGGAAGUGUGGGCUAAGUUCGUGCCAGCAGCCGCGGUAAGACGAACCACACAACGGUUAUACGGAACUAAUGGGGUGAGUAGGCGCCGAGGCUGCGUGGGUGGGAAAUACCUCGGCUCAACCGAGGAACUGCGCCCAAAACUACUGUGCUUGAGGAAGAUAGAGGUAAGCGGAACUUACGGUGGAGCGGUGAAAUGCGUUGAUAUCGUAAGGAACACCUGUGGCGAAAGCGGCUUACUGGGUCUUUUCUGACGCUGAUGCACGAAAGCUAGGGGAGCAAACGGGAUUAGAUACCCCGGUAGUC
rnacentral:rRNA from 1 species